rnacentral:tRNA from 1 species
GGGCAGUUAGCUCAGUUGGGGGAGCAUCGCCCUUACAAGGCGAGGGUCACAGGUUCAAGUCCUGUACUGCCCACCA